rnacentral:rRNA from 1 species
AUUGAACGCUGGCGGCAUGCUUUACGCAUGCAAGUCGAACGGCAGCGCGGGCUUUGGCCUGGCGGCGAGUGGCGAACGGGUGAGUAAUACAUCGGAACGUGCCCAGUAGUGGGGGAUAGCUCGGCGAAAGCCGGACUAAUACCGCAUACGACCUGAGGGUGAAAGCGGGGGAUCUUCGGACCUCGCGCUAUUGGAGGGGCCGAGGGCAGAUUAGCUAGUUGGUGGGGUAAAGGCCUACCAAGGCGACGAUCUGUAGCUGGUCUGAGAGGACGACCAGCCACACUGGAACUGAGACACGGCCCAGACUCCUACGGGAGGCAGCAGUGGGGAAUUUUGGACAAUGGGCGAAAGCCUGAUCCAGCAAUGCCGCGUGUGUGACGAAGGCCUUCGGGUUGUAAAGCACUUUUGGCUGGAACGAAAAGGACUGUGCUAAUACCACGGUUCGAUGACGGUACCCGCAGAAUAAGCACCGGCUAACUACGUG